rnacentral:rRNA from 1 species
AUGGGAGAACUUGAGAUUUUUGAGACGCUAGUGGGAGUUGACUGCCACACCUUCAUCGUGACAUGGAGAAAUAAUCGGAAAUUUCAGUUCAGCGUGAAUUAUCGAGCUGAAAACUCUGAGAAUACGAUAGACUGCAGUUGUGGACGAAUGCUUCGGAAAGGAUUGCCUUGCAAACACAUUCUGUAUGUGUUGGUUCAUCUUAAAAAAUCUAAAAUACCUAAGUGUUGCAUUCUUAAGAGGAUGUCGAAAGUUGCGAGAGGUGGGCUGCCUGCACAGCGAAAGAGUGACUUGUUUGGCUGGGGUUGGACAGGGGCAGAUGAGCGUGCUCGCUAUAGUCAACUUAGUAUAACAGGAGCUGAAGCUUUUCAUGUUGCUUCAAAUGAUCCAUUCGUCUAUGAUGAGUUGAUGCAGUGUCUGCAGAAUAUAAUAGCGAAGAAAAAGGUCCCUGAUGAUGAUGCUGUUGGUAGUACAAGAAAUGUGCAUGAGGAUCCACGUCAGCUGGAACAACAUGUUGAUGUCAUAGGUGAUCCCGUGAAAGUUUCCACGAAGGGCGCCCCUAAACAGAGCAGGACAGGGCGGGCAAAGAAAGAUCCAAAUGUUACAAAGAAUGGAAGACCAAAAUCAUUUUCUGAGAAAAAACCUGGUCUUCUUUGUGGCAUUUGUAAGAAAGAGGGCCAUAGACGGCAAACAUGCUCUGAGAAUGAAAAGAACCGGGCAUAA